GAUGAACGCUGGCGGCGUGCCUAAUACAUGCAAGUCGAGCGAACAGACGAGGAGCUUGCUCCUCUGACGUUAGCGGCGGACGGGUGAGUAACACGUGGAUAACCUACCUAUAAGACUGGGAUAACUUCGGGAAACCGGAGCUAAUACCGGAUAAUAUGUUGAACCGCAUGGUUCAACAGUGAAAGACGGUUUUGCUGUCACUUAUAGAUGGAUCCGCGCCGCAUUAGCUAGUUGGUAAGGUAACGGCUUACCAAGGCAACGAUGCGUAGCCGGCCUGAGAGGGUGGUUGGCCAACAUGGAACUGAGAAAACGUCCAGACUCCUAAGGGGGGGAGGAGGAGGGAAUGUUCCGGCAUGGGGCAAAGGCUGACGGAGCCAAGGCGAGGGAGGUAAGAAAGUCCUUCGGAUGGAAAAACGCUGUAAUAGGGAAAAAACAAAUGGGAAAGUAACAAUGCACGUCUGGACGGUACCUAAUCAGAAGGCCACGGCUAACUAGGU
rnacentral:rRNA from 1 species